rnacentral:rRNA from 1 species
AUUGAACGCUGGCGGCAGGCCUAACACAUGCAAGUCGAGCGGAGCGGCGGACGGGUGAGUAAUGCCUAGGAAUCUGCCUGGUAGUGGGGGAUAACGUCCGGAAACGGGCGCUAAUACCGCAUACUAUCAGAUGAGGCUGGGGCGGUUUAGGUAUUUGGUGGGGUAAAGGCCUAGCAAGGCGACGAUCCGGAACUGGUCUGAGAGGAUGAUUAGUCACACCGGAACGGAGACAAGGUCCAGACUCGUACGGGAGGCAGCAGUGGGGAAUAUUGGACAAUGGGCGCAAGCCUGAUCCAGCCAUGCCGCGUGUGUGAAGAAGGUCUUCGGGUUGUAAAGCACUUUAAGUUGGGAGGCGUUACCAACAGAAUAAGCACCGGCUAACUUCGUGCCAGCAGCCGCGGUAAUUC